UGGGGAAUAUUGCACAAUGGGGGAAACCCUGAUGCAGCGACGCCGCGUGAACGAAGAAGGUAUUCGUAUCGUAAAGUUCUGUCCUAUGGGAAGAUAAUGACAGUACCAUAGAAGAAAGCUCCGGCUAAAUACGUGCCAGCAGCCGCGGUAAUACGUAGGUGGCAAGCGUUAUCCGGAAUUAUUGGGCGUAAAGCGAGCGCAGGCGGUCAAUUAAGUCUGAUGUGAAAGCCCCCGGCUCAACCGGGGAGGGUCAUUGGAAACUGGUUGACUUGAGUGCAGAAGAGGAGAGUGGAAUUCCAUGUGUAGCGGUGAAAUGCGUAGAUAUAUGGAGGAACACCAGUGGCGAAGGCGACUCUCUGGUCUGUAACUGACGCUGAGGUUCGAAAGCGUGGGUAGCAAACAGG
rnacentral:rRNA from 1 species